rnacentral:rRNA from 1 species
GACGAACGCUGGCGGCAUGCCUAACACAUGCAAGUCGAACGAUGCCUUCGGGCAUAGUGGCGCACGGGUGCGUAACGCGUGGGAAUCUGCCUUUCGGUUCGGAAUAACUCAGGGAAACUUGAGCUAAUACCGGAUAACGUCGCACGACCAAAGAUUUAUCGCCGAAAGAUGAGCCCGCGUAGGAUUAGCUAGUUGGUGAGGUAAAGGCUCACCAAGGCGACGAUCCUUAGCUGGUCUGAGAGGAUGAUCAGCCACACUGGGACUGAGACACGGCCCAGACUCCUACGGGAGGCAGCAGUGGGGAAUAUUGGACAAUGGGCGAAAGCCUGAUCCAGCAAUGCCGCGUGAGUGAUGAAGGCCUUAGGGUUGUAAAGCUCUUUUACCCGGGAAGAUAAUGACGGUACCGGGAGAAUAAGCCCCGGCUAACUCCGUG